GGGUACUUGAACCAUUUCUCCUGUCCGAUUUGCCAUGUCUGGAAGGCUUGCAGAUAAAUAGAUGGAAGAAAGAAAUGAAAAACAAUAGUUGACUUCUCAUGUGGAAAGUAUCAGCACAUACCUGUGAGCCUCCUAACGCCAACAGCCACUUGUCUUCUGGAAUUGAGUUCCUAUGUGGUGUCUUUACACUGAGCAUGCUGUGGCAGGAGGCCAGGAAGACCAGCAAACAGAAGGGCACAGGAAGGAAGAGAGAGAGUGUGUUAUCUCAUCUACAGGAAGCGGCCCGGCUCUCCGUGAAGACGCCAAUAUCAAUCAGAUUGAAGUACAUUGAAGCAGCAUGUUCUGGGUGGAUUCCAGGAGGAUGAAAGUGACAGACAGAGAGAGCGAGAGAGAAGAGGAUGUGUAACUGCAUUUUCCUUUUUUUGUACUUACACUUUUUUAUCAUUAUAUUUCAAUGUGUUCCUGUGCUCUACUGGAGGAAAAAGAAGACAACUAGACCUUGACAUGUUUUUGGAAAGUUUGUUGCACUCCUCUGUUCCCCUCCAUCCUGAGCCAGACCAGCGUCACUGAAUCAGUCACUUCAGAAACUUCACAGGUAAGAAUCACUGACUGAUUCCUCAACACACCAUCAGGGGGCUCCACUGAGACUGAAAUCAAC